GGCAUGUCCAAAAUACUCGUAUGAAAGCGUAUUUUGAGUGAUUUUAACUGUGUGAAUGCUGUCAGUAUUUGAUUUGAGUGACUCUGCGUGAUUUGUCUGAGAGACUGAAAAAGGGGGGUGUGUGAGAGGAAGGUGUGUGUGACUGAUGAUGUCAGGGGAGCACCCAGAGAAAUAGACAGAGUUAAAUUCUAAGAAGAUGAAGCGAAUGUGUGUGUGACUGAUGAUGUCAGGGGAGCACCCAGAGAAAUAGACAGAGUUAAAUUCUAAGAAGAUGAAGCGAAUGCAUGUGUUAAGGAAAAGUAAUAAAGUAAUAAAAUUAUAUUAAUUACAGGUUUUAGAAAAGAGACAGACUGAGAGAAAUAAAUACAGGAACUAACAAUUACAUUAAUGAAUUGAAAAUGCACGUACACAAACUGUUACAUGUGAAAUUAUUGUUGGAAAGUUUAAUAAAGAAAGCAGUUUACACUCCUUUAAUUUCCAGAACCAGUGUGUCCCCUAGGCCUGAUAACACUCUUGCCCAGUUGGCCACUGUAGUAGGCGGGCAUGGAAGGCUGGACAGCACAUGACGGGUAAGAUCCCACCUCGAAACCCUGGGACAACCUAAGGCAAGGCGCAGUCACGAUUGCUUGAACCUAAGUCCCGGAGUGACCUUGGAGUCACUGGAGGAGACGGGAUUUAACAGGUAAGGCCACUGGGCACAGGCGGAGGGGAAAUGUCAUUAACAAGGACCAGUGAUGAACCAGAGAGAGAAAAUACACCCUGUCAAAAGGAGUUUGAAACACUGCAAAAGAAACAUUUACAAGAUCACAAAGAUCAUAAAGAAACAUUUAUAAAAACCACACAUACAAACAGAAAAUGCACUAACCUUACAGAGAUAAGCUCAUGAAGAGUAAUGCAUAGAUAGUAAUUAAAACUUGGCUAAGAACACAAACAUAUGUAAUUAAAUCAGCCUGCUAAUUUCAUGAGGGUUAAAAUGGUGUGAAUGUUGAAGAAAAUACACUUAAAACACACUUGGAUAAAAUAGAGUUGUUGUGGAAUAACUCAAACGAAGCUGUAUGACAAGGGAGUGAGUUAUGGAAAAAACAAAAACAAAAGAGGAGUAAUUACUUAGGAGUGCUCUUGCACUGAUUUAUCAAAGUAAGUGAUUAGUAUAGAAAGAAAAUGAAAAUAAUUCAAUAAUGUGAUAAGGUUUAAACAUGUAUUCCUCUUGUUAAGUUGGCUGUUGAGUUGUGGGUUUAUGCAAAUUAGCUGGAGCAGAGACACUUCCUGUGUGUGUGUGUGUCGGAGGCUUUCUGUUCAGUUCAAGAGAGAUCGGGGCUGAUGAAGAGUAUUUGGAGAAAUAUAAUGGUAAAGUAUCAGGAUAUUUGAUUACGGUGGUCAGGUC
ensembl:lncRNA